UACAAGUUCUUCUCGUAAGGGAGAUGUAUAUUCAACUCCGAAAGGGACAACAGGUUUGGAGAAUGCCUUUCAAUAUAAACCAGGUAUAGUGCGAUUGCCUUUAAAAUAAAAAUCACUGAAAUUCCAUCUCUAACUUCAAUUUGUAGUCACUCGUUUGGAACAAGAGUCUGCUUACUAUCUUCAAUUUGUACACAAAACUUAACAAGAACGAAACAUGGAUCCAGAAGAGCAAACGGACAUGCAAUCCAUCAAAUUAGCUUCCCUUGAAGAAAAACAACACAAAAAAGUCAGAUAUUAUGAAACAACGACGAUAAAGCUGGUCAUCGCUUAUAUUUUCUUCCAAGCUGUUAUAUUCUUGUCUGUUUUUCUCCAAAACCCAGCCAUCAUCUCCUGCCAGCAUUGGUGGAUUCCGUUCAGCCUCUCGUCUCUGAUUACUUUCAUCUUUUCCAUAAGCUUCACCAGAUUCGCCAGCAAGUUGGAACGUAUACAACACCAGCACGACAUCACUGUCAUGGAGCGAGAUUCGAAUCACCACCGAAAAAUGCUCCAACAAAGAGAUCCAACCAAUACUCAUGAUCUGCUUCAGCAACAGCAACAGAUUUUGAAGGGCGAUGUUGUGGACGUUUAUCAGAGAAAUGGCUUCAUUUACUUGGUAUUUGCUGCCCUUCUUGUCUACACGGUUAUCAUCUUAAUAGCCUGUCGAUUCGUUAUCUGUAAAGACUGAUUCCAUAAACCAGUCUUAAGAGCAUCUCUAAGGGAUUAUGCAAAGGAGCAGGAAAAUAAGGCUUGCCCAGCCACGUCAGUUUUCUCCUCCUCCUACGUGGCGCUGAUUUCUAGUUGUAAUUAAAUGGUAGAGCUUGCAAGGAAGACUUCACUGUGAAAGUUAACAAUUGAGAGCUUGUGAAUAAAAAAGACAACAGCAUCUAGAGAAAGUAGCAGACAGCAUAUGUUGCCCCAAAAUCUAACCUGAGCAACAAUCUCAGCAGACAGCAUAAUCAGUAUAGCAAUGCUCUACGCUCCAACAAAAGCUUAAUUCAAAUGCGAAAUUCAAGUCUUGUUUUUUGGACGAUUUAAUUUCCCGGUGACUGUCAUCUGAACGCUUCGUAUCUAAUUAACAUGAUCUCAACAUUGUUCGUUAAAGCAAAAAACACGAGCUUCUGAGAAUUUAGAUAAUGUUCUUUACUUCAUAUUAAAGUGGUGAGUGUGAAUUCCACAGUGACAAAUCAAAUGAUUUUGCAUUGCCAGUUGGUUUUAUGAUGGAAUCUCAUAUUGUAAUAUGAUAUCAGAGCAAGAUAUUCACACA